rnacentral:rRNA from 1 species
GAUGAACGCUGGCGGCGUGCCUAAUACAUGCAAGUCGAGCGAACAGACGAGGAGCUUGCUCCUCUGACGUUAGCGGCGGACGGGUGAGUAACACGUGGAUAACCUACCUAUAAGACUGGGAUAACUUCGGGAAACCGGAGCUAAUACCGGAUAAUAUAUUUAACCGCAUGGUUCAAUAGUGAAAGACGGUUUUGCUGUCACUUAUAGAUGGAUCCGCGCCGCAUUAGCUAGUUGGUAAGGUAACGGCUUACCAAGGCAACGAUGCGUAGCCGACCUGAGAGGGUGAUCGGCCACACUGGAACUGAGACACGGUCCAGACUCCUACGGGAGGCAGCAGUAGGGAAUCUUCCGCAAUGGGCGAAAGCCUGACGGAGCAACGCCGCGUGAGUGAUGAAGGUCUUCGGAUCGUAAAACUCUGUUAUUAGGGAAGAACAAAUGUGUAAGUAACGAUGCACGUCUUGACGGUACCGAAUCAGAAAGCCACGGCUAACUACGU